ACUGUAAGAGGCUGCAAGUAACGGGUCGUGACAACAGGAGAGACACGUUUCGGGACAGCCAGGCAGGCGUGUCUGCUUCUUGUUCUCGCACGCUGAGUGAGCGCAGCAAAUGUGCGCUCCGGAGAUGAUGGAAACGGAGAACACCUUCCACCUCGGCUGACUCACAGCGAGCAGCACCGAGGGCGAAGGAGAAGGGGGGAAAAAGUGAGGGAGCGGCAGGAAGAGCAGUCAUCCUCCCGCACAGGAAGCGCCGGCCGCCGCCGCCGCCGUCACCGGUGCCGGUGCCGCCGCUCCACUGAGGCGCCCUGUUCUGCGGCGCUCUUUCUCAUCCUGCCUUUCACACUUGGGAGAAUAACAGGAACGACAGAGUGAGUGAGUGAGUGAGUGAGAGGGGACGGAGGGGGAGAGGCCGUGAGGGAGGUAUGUAAGCAAAGGAGGAGUUCCAAAACGAACAUUCUCAGGGAUUUCGGCCCGCUUUGCACCCCCCCUCCCACCGCGUCAGGAGCGCAGACACGCGUUCGGGCGGCGCGGGACUCAGCUCAACACUCUCUCGCUUUCAGAACGCACCGUUACCCCACUGAUUAGCAUCCGCUGCACAUGCGCAACACAUUGACAUAUUUUACGUGCGUACUUGAGUACGUGCGGGUUACCUUUACACCCUGAAAGUGUCCUGCCAGUGUUCCUUUUGAAAAAUGGGAAAAUUGAUCUGGUUCAGAUGAACAAAAGGGCCUCCUUCAGCAGUCGAUUCUUCAUUAUUCCGCCACAAAAAGAAGAGGCGAACCGGGGAAGGUCAGAGAGACUAGGCAGGAGAAUGACAGCAGGAGCUGUGGCAAAGGGGUGGACUGAAGCCAUGGGGACUGUGGGACUUGGCUUCGGGACGGCUAUAUGCACUUGCUAAGCUUUUUCCGUGGAUUCAGUGUUCUCUGGAACAGAUUAGCCUCUAAAAGGGAGGGAUGGCUGGUGGAAGAGGAGAGUGACAGGGAGACCGAGCAAGGGAGAAGUGAGACUGAAGAGAGGCACCAGGUAACUUUCGCUGUGAUCUGAGUUUGACGUGUGGAAGUCUUAGCACGUGGC
rnacentral:lncRNA from 1 species